rnacentral:misc_RNA from 1 species
GGGWGAAGUCGUAACAAGGUAGCCCUACCGGAAGGUGGGGCUGGAUCACCCCUUUUAAGGACGAUAGAUCACUUGUUCGCAAGUGUCUUAGGUUGAGCAAGCUUUACNAAAUACGUUACUUCCCUUCUGUUGUCCAGAUGGACAAAAGCCUUGUGAUAAACAAGGCGCUGCUAUCUUGACAGUCAGAAAGAGAUCCCUCAAAGAGACUGUAUCUGAAUUAAGCUUCUGUCGAUUUUUGGGUUUCUUUUCUGCCACUUUUCGAUUUCAAAAUGCAGGGGUAAUAUCAAUUUUGUAUAUUACCUCCUGCAUUUUGAAUCGAAAAUCGGCCAAAAGAACUCCAAAAAUCGACGAAGCCUUAAAUCAGAUACAGUCUUCAAAGAAAUCAAUAUUCUUUGUGCACUAGUUUACUAGUGCAUGCGCAAGUAAGUAAAACAUGUGGUAAACAAAUUUCACUGUAUGAAAACGGCGCUUGAGGAGAAAUACUUCAUACUGAGGCAGCGAAAGCUGCCUCGCAAAAACAAUUAGGUGUAAGUAAGGCGAAGCUCAAAUUAGUAAUGUAAAGAUCUUUGUGGUCAAGUUACUAAGGGCUGCUGACGGAUGCCCUUGGCAUCGUAAGGCGAUGAAGGACGUGCUAA